rnacentral:rRNA from 1 species
AUACGGGGGAUGCGAGCGUUAUCCGGAUUUAUUGGGUUUAAAGGGAGCGUAGAUGGAUUUUUAAGUCAGUUGUGAAAGUUCGGGGCUCAACCCCGUAAUUGCAGUUGAUACUGGAUAUCUUGAGUACAGUUGAGGUAGGCGGAAUUCGUGGUGUAGCGGUGAAAUGCUUAGAUAUCACGAAGAACUCCGAUUGCGAAGGCAGCUUACUAAGCUGUAACUGACAUUGAGGCUCGAAAGUGUGGGUAUC